UCUGAGGGAUUGAUGGUACCAUAGGCAGU
rnacentral:piRNA from 1 species